ACAAUGAUUGAGUCUUAAAAUUACUACUAGUCGUAAAUAAUAAUUUUCUUGAUUACUUUUUCGUGAGAUGGCGCAAAUGUGUUGAAAACGAGAUAAACGAACUACCCGUUCCGUGUAUGAUAAGUAGCCUAACACUUAAUUCAAUCCACGAAAUUUUUCUUGUUUUGGGAAGAACCCCAUAAAAUUCCUGAUAAAUCGGAUUCAUUUUUUGAUGUUGUUGCAUAUAAUCAUGCUACGCUCACCGUUAGGCCAGUGCAUAUGGGAUGCAAAGUAAUAGAGAUGCUGCUUUAGUUUUCAAUCCAGAUAUGCAAUUAACUAUCAGAAGGUAACAGCAAUAUAUUCACCAUUAUGGCACGUAGACCUCUAGCUCCAGUUUUACGUUCCAUUGCAAGUUUUGCAAUUGCUACUAAUGCUUCAGGACUAAAUGUUAGAUCACACUGAUCCAUUCCUAGAAGACGCUGAUAUUGGGGUACUAAAGCGUUAUGAGGUUCUGUUAGAAUCCUCACCAACAUAUUUCUGUC